rnacentral:misc_RNA from 1 species
UCCGGCUUACACCGGCGGUCUCCUAUGAGUCCCCACCGUUAGUGCUGGUAACAUAGAACGAGGGUUGCGCUCGUUGGCGGACUUAACCGUACACCUCACGGCACGAGCUGACGACAGCCAUGCAACAAGUGUCUUCACGUCCCCUUGUGGGGGAGGGCCCUGUUUCUAGGGCUUACGAUCGAUGUCAAACCUGGGUAAGGUUCUUCGGUUAGUAUCGAAUUAAUCCACAUGCUCCACCGCUUGUGCGGGUCCCCGUCAAUUCAUUUGAGUUUCAACCUUGCGGCCGUACUCCCCAGGCGGGAUACUUAAUGCGUUAGCUGCGGCACAAGAGGGGUCGAUACCUCUUACGCCUAGUAUCCAUCGUUUAGGGCGUGGACUAC